GGGUUACUAAACUUUUCUUCAAGUUUGUAAAACUAAAAAUUAUGUUUAUAAACAUUUUAGAAUACAUCUGGCAACGUCAAGUGGCCCGCCGCUUGGUCAACCCAACAUAAAUGCAAUAAAAUGCAUUGGAAUGCGGCUAAACCACUUUUUCAAAGUUUUUUUUAUUGUUUGGUUUAGUUAUGUUCGAGUUACCUGGCGACUGGUGAGAGGAUUGCCGACGUAUGUAUGUAUAUAUGUAAAUAAGUUACUGUUGUUGUAUGUCGACAAGCAAACGCAGACCAACAAAGUUAGAUUCUUAUUAGAAAACCAACAAUCAGCUCACUGAGUGCCAAAGAAUGGAGCUAAGCAACGCACUGGGCGGCCUCUGAAUGCCAGCGAGUCAGUCAAAGAACCGGAUAAUGCUCGUAGCAGUGUAGAAGAAGGCGCAAGCGCAACACCACACAGCACAUAGCAUAAGAGUCAGUCAGUCAUAUAACCUUAGCAACCGGCCACCAGUUGGGAACCAAAGAACCACUCCGAGAAUGCAUUCAACAAUCACUUAAUAUAAAAACAAAAGAAAAAAACGUGUAUACAAGUGUAUGUGUACAGAAAGAAAGCUGAAGGAAAUACAUAUCUCAAGAACAGCAUUAAGGCGAAUGCAAUGUAAAGAAAAAAUUAGGGAAAAAAAAUAAAUAAAACAUUCUUGAGUCGUCCUUCCAAGAAAUGCAAUCACGCAGCGAUCACCAACGACGUUGUCGCCAACAACAAAAGCAAACGCAGCAAUGCUCCUAUGCACACACACAGCAUAAUGAAGGCAACAACAAAAGCAAAAAAGUAAAGAUAACAAAAAUGCACUCAAUAUGCAGGCGCAGGCGCAGGCACAGACCCAAAUGUGUUUGCAGCGGAUGCAGCAACAAUAACGAAAAAUGCUCUAACAAGCUGCGCUUCCAAUUUGAAUGUAUUGUUGUAGCAAGCGGCGCAGGCGUAGUAGCAUAAAUGCAUAAGGCCACAGAAUGUUGUAAGCCGUAGAUCGUGAGCCAUCGAUCAGUUUUCCAUAGCAUUACCCUGUAGGGUUCCCCGCAUUGCGGUAAAGAUCAAUGAAAACCAAAAAAAUGUGCCAUAACAGUUUGACUUGAAGCAACGAAAUUCCUUAAUUUGUUGGAUGCUGCAUGGGUUGACCAACCACGACAUACGAUCGUACAUUAGUAUUGAACUUCUAAUUUAAGUAUUUAAUGAUCUAUCGAAAAUAAGCGAGCGCCUAUAUGCAGGAAAGCGGAGUAGGUGGAGUAGUAGCCUCUAUCGUUGUAUGGAUGGCUAUUACACAAAUUCAAAUGCUCAAGUCCAGCCCGUGAAGAAACGUUUGUACGUGUAUAUGUGCACGCUUGAUCGACCUUUCUAUCGAUGAUUGUUCGGGGCGUUUUAUUAUAUGGGAAAAUCUUUAACAACUCUGAGAAUCUAAAGAACAAUAGCAGCAUGAAAAUGAGAAAUUAUACACGUUUGGGUGGGGAGUUUGAUGAAAGAGAAAGACCGCCGUCGCCAGCGCCACAACAGUACUCGAAAAGUUGUAUAAAAAAACAUAUACAGACCAGCAAAUUUCCAAUUCAUAUGUGGCAAUUCGUCUGAUUAUUACAGUGGGUGAUUAUUACAGUGGGUGUUCAGGCAAUUUUUCAUUCCUAUUAUCUCUGGGAAUUCUCAGGAUUUUCACGCAAGCUAAACAGCUUUCUAAAACCUCAUUAAACAGCAAAGAAAGUCUACUGUAAUAAUCCAAUUCCACUAUGUCUGGAUUUACGGAUAACGGAUUGAACCGAAAGUAACACAUCAUGAGACCAUGAUUUUUAGCCACCAUCAGACUUCAAAAAUACAGUUUUUUUCAAUAUAACUUAUAAGUACUUAUUGAACAACCUUGUAAUGAAAAUGCACUCCAACAAUGCAUAUGCGGUUUCUUGUUGAGCUACACGCUUAUUAUUGCCGAACAUACAUUUGGAAUUCAUGAGAAACAACCAUUUCUUAACUUGCUGAUAUUGUUGAGGUUAGAGUGAGGUAAAAUGUGUAUUUAAAUGAUAAGAAUCGAUAUUGUUUUUUUCUUUUCUUUUAUUACUUCAAUAUCUAUGUAGUGUAAGUAUGUUUGUACAUAUUUAAGGAUUGCCCAUAAUAGAUAUAGAUAGAACAGCCCAAAUGACAAUAAGCGCCCAUAUAAAACCACUUUCCGCAAAAAUCUGAUUUAGUCCGAGAAAUAAAUGAGCACAUCAUGACCACCAACAUUGGUUAAUGAGUGCUGUCUUUUGGGUGUGUGGCAUGGUAAGUGCAGAUCUCUUUCAAUCUUUUCAAAAUUGUAAGGUAAAUUCAAAAUUGUAAGGUACGUACUUCCUUCUUGAGAGAGAUGUUUCUUGAAUGAAAUAAUACCUAAUCAAAAACAAAUAUGUUUGUCAUACAUACAUACGUAAGUAAAUUAAUUGCAACUGACGUAAGCAAUUGCAAUCAAGGCAUGUGACAUUACAAUCAGGCUACUCCCUUUUUUAAUAAUCUAAUCUUCAAGUCAAUUGAAAAUAAUCAUUUAUAAGUACAGUGGAACUUCUCUAACUCGAAUCACCAUAAUCCACAAA